rnacentral:lncRNA from 1 species
UCUUCCCACAUGUCUUCAUUCCAACUUUUGGGAUCCCUACCCUUUCAAUUAUGCCUUCACUUUAAUGGCAGACAGCAUGCAUGCUGAGGAUUUAAUUAGCACUGUAAUUCAGCCACUCACACAAUAAGAUUCUAGGUUUGAUUUUCAGAAAUCUCAGCUCUGUGGCUACAGGAGAUAAAGGUUUCUUUCAACAUCAUAGACAUAGCAACUUUAGAUUAUUUCUUCAGUCUGAGAUCUGGAAAUUUAAAGUCCUGUGCUCAUUCUUUUCUUUUUCCACUUUUGCCAACACAACUAGAAGCAAUCAUCCAAUUUCAUUAUGCUUGUUACUUUAAAAAAUAUUCUAAAGUGUCAUAUACAUGAUCACCCUGGUCAUUUCUCCUUUAUUUGAUUCGGAAUAUCCAGUGGUGUUAUUUUGCAUAUCUCUAUUGCCACAUUACACCACGGACUUUUAUUUCUGUUUGUAUUACUGAAAAUAGAGUUGUGGUGCCUUUAAUUUAUUCGCAUUACAGAACCAAUUCCAAACACUAGAAAUGCCAGAACUAAUUCAGAAAGCUCAUCCUUAAGACUUCCUUCCUCUAGAACAACUAGUAAAGUUUCUCUCAGACAGGAUUUUUAGAGAAACAGAAAAAAAAUAAGAUACACACACACAAAUAUACACAUGCAAAGAGACAGACAGAGAUGGAGACGGAAAGACAAGGACAAGAAGAUGGAAUCUGAGCUAAUGGCAGAGACAUGGAACCAGUAGAGAAGAGACCCACUGUCUUCAGAGAGUGCUGACCAGGAAGAGGAGAAGCCUUGGGGACUGGAUCAGGUGUCUGUCCCUAGGUCCCCAUUCCUGACUCUUCUCCUGCCACCCUGAUCUGGGUGUAGCAUCAUAUUAGGUAAUUUGGCUGAAAAAACUGCUAACUUGGGAAAAUGUCCCCUGUCCAUAGGAGCAGGACAUCCCAGACUCAAGAAGCUCAUAAACCCACAAGCACUCUGUCCUUCAUCUCCCCACCACAGCCUCCUAGACAAGACCCCAAAUCACCCCACAUACUUUGCUCCCAACCCAAUGCCUGCUCCAGGCAAUCUCAUGUCUCCUACCCUAAUCCCUGGGGUUUGCCCUGCUCUCAGAGCAAAGUCUCCCCACCAGGAACAGCCACCAACCCAAACCCCAAGGAAUGGUCCAGAAUCUCAGGCCCUCCUGUGUCCCUGGAUCCCCAGCCCUGGUCCUCUGCCCCCUUCAAACCCACAGCCCAGCUCCCUCUCUUAGCCCAGUCCCUGGGCCCUCCUGCCAAGCCUGCCCUCCCUGACCCAGCACUCCCUCUGCAGAUGCUGUGAUUGCCAUCCAGUCCCAGACUGUGGGAGGCUGGGAGUGUGAGAAGCUUUCCCAACCCUGGCAGGGUUGUACCAUUUCGGCAACUUCCAGUGCAAGGACGUCCUGCUGCAUCCUCACUGGGUGCUCACUACUGCUCACUGCAUCACCCGGAACACUGUGAUCAACUAGCCAGCACCAUAGUUCUCCGAAGUCAGACUAUCAUGAUUACUGUGUUGACUGUGCUGUCUAUUGUACUAACCAUGCCGAUGUUUAGGUGAAAUUAGCGUCACUUGGCCUCAACCAUCUUGGUAUCCAGUUAUCCUCACUGAAUUGAGAUUUCCUGCUUCAGUGUCAGCCAUUCCCACAUAAUUUCUGACCUACAGAGGUGAGGGAUCAUAUAGCUCUUCAAGGAUGCUGGUACUCCCCUCACAAAUUCAUUUCUCCUGUUGUAGUGAAAGGUGCGCCCUCUGGAGCCUCCCAGGGUGGGUGUGCAGGUCACAAUGAUGAAUGUAUGAUCGUGUUCCCAUUACCCAAAGCCUUUAAAUCCCUCAUGCUCAGUACACCAGGGCAGGUCUAGCAUUUCUUCAUUUAGUGUAUGCUGUCCAUUCAUGCAACCACCUCAGGACUCCUGGAUUCUCUGCCUAGUUGAGCUCCUGCAUGCUGCCUCCUUGGGGAGGUGAGGGAGAGGGCCCAUGGUUCAAUGGGAUCUGUGCAGUUGUAACACAUUAGGUGCUUAAUAAACAGAAGCUGUGAUGUU